CCCACUUUCAGCCAAAGUCCUUUCAAGAAAACGUCCUAUAAUAAAUGUCCUAUAUUAACACAGCACAUUAAAGCCUUUCCAAAAAAAGAAAAAGGAAAAGGAAAAAAAAACCCUCUUCUCAUUACCGAAGUAACACACACUCAUUAUAAAAAUAUGAGAAAUGGAAGAACAUUUAUAAAAGAUUAUUCAAGUCACUCAUAAUCUUAAGAGUCCUGAAGAAGCCACAGUUAGCCUGUGUCUUAGUCAGUGUUCUAUUGCUAUGAAGAGUCACCAUGACCAUGGCAAGGCUUAUAAAAGAGCACAUUUAAUUGUGGCUGGUUUGUAAUUUAGUUCGCUAUCCUCACAAUGGGAAGCAUGGCGGGCACACAGGCAAACAGCGCUAGAGGGGUAGCUGAGAGUUCUACAUCUGGAUUGGCACACAUCAGGAAGGAGUUGACCCUGAACCUGGCUUGAGCUUUAAAACCUCAAAGCCUAACCCCAAUGACUCACUUCCUCCAACAAAGCCAUACCUCCUAAUACUGCCACUCCCUGGUUAUCAAGCAUUCAAAUCUAUAAGCCAUUCCUAUUCAAAACCACUACAGUGUGUUCACACAGUUCCUUCCAGACUACUUUAUGUGAUGAAUACAUUGGUGCAUCAUUAAUACUACAUCACCUAGGAAACAGACACACAUCACAUACAGCACCUUAUAGAGAUCUUGUGGCUUCCUAUGCAUGAAAUGCCCCUAAUGACAACUGUCAUUAGAAAAAUACGAGAUGCUGUCCCUUCCAGCUAUCGUCCUACAGCUCAAAGUCAAGGAUACAGAAUGCAGACUGCACGUUGUCACAGCACACUACUGAAUCAUGUGAAUCGCGUGGCCGAGACAUGAGUCUAGUAUGGGGAAAAAUGAGGCGCAGAGACAGUUAAGCAUCUACUUCAGAAGCAUGGCUGCCAUCCCCAGGCACAAACUCUUCAGUCUAUGCCAGAGGUGCUGGGCGCUGCGACUGUGGAACCUCUGAUCCCACAGCCUCCUACUGAUGGAGAGAUUAUCACCAUUUCUAAGAGACAACAUCGAACUGGGAGGCUGUGGCCGAUCUUCAAAUCCCCCAGGUGGCUGAGCAGAAGUAAGGUUCAUAGCUGGAGACCUGGAAGGCAGAAGUACCUAUGAAUGUUUCCAUCGGGUUAACCACAGCUACUCAGGUUGUUAAAAAGUCCUGAAUGAUCAGCUAACCCUGAAUGUGUGCCUCUAAUUCUUCUUGGUGACAGCGGUUAUCGCUGCUGUAAGGAAAAGCCCAGUGUGCUGAACCAAAGACCCCCCCCUGUCAACAUCCCAGUUUAACCUUUUCCUGGACUAGAGGGAACCUUAAUGCUUCUUGUUUUGUGUCUGACAUUGAUCUAAUGUUGCAUUUCUCAUACUAGGCUCUGGGGAGCAAUGAUAAUUUUCCACUUAAUAAAGCUUCCUCUCUUUUUUCC
rnacentral:lncRNA from 1 species